rnacentral:rRNA from 1 species
UACGUAGGGUCCGAGCGUUGUCCGGAAUUAUUGGGCGUAAGGGGCUCGUAGGCGGUUUGUCGCGUCGGGAGUGAAAACACGGGGCUUAACCCCGUGCCUGCUUCCGAUACGGGCAGACUAGAGGUAUGCAGGGGAGAACGGAAUUCCUGGUGUAGCGGUGAAAUGCGCAGAUAUCAGGAGGAACACCGGUGGCGAAGGCGGUUCUCUGGGCAUUACCUGACGCUGAGGAGCGAAAGUGUGGGGAGCGAACAGG